rnacentral:misc_RNA from 1 species
AACGCACCUUGCACCCUUUGGUAUUCCGAAGGGUAUGCCUGUUUGAGUGUCAUUAAAUUCUCAACUUCAAAAGUCUUUUGACUUUUGAAGCUUGGACUAUGGAGGUUGUUGCAGGCGAUUCAAUUAUUGUCAGCUCCUCUUAAAUGCAUUAGCAGAACCGUAAGGAUCAGCUUUGGUUUGAUAAUUGACUAUCUAUGCCGUUGCUGUUGACUUGGGUUCAGCUUAUAAUUGUCUUCGGACUGUCUCUAACAGAGGCAUUACAUUUUAAGCUUGACCUCAAAUCAGGUAGGAUUACCCGCUGAACUUAA